UCUGCUCGUUCCUGAAGUAGUCGUCGGGGUCUAUCUGACUCUUGGCCACGGCGAGCCUCUGAUAGUUGUCCUUGAAGUACUUGUGUCCCCACACCAUACCGGCCUGGUAGCUGCUGACGUUGCCCACAACGACGUUCUCACCAAGGUCCAGGUCCCUGUAGUUGAAGUAGGCCUCCCUCGGGUUGGAGCUCACGUACGGUGCCAUGAACGCGUACAAGUCCCUGACCCACUUGGUCUGGACGGCUCCGUCUCCUCCCCCAGCCAUGGGCCAGAAGUUCAUGUACUGGAUGUUGUACAGCACGCCGGCGCGGUGCGGGAACGGCGUCGCCGACUCCGGCACGGUGCUGAUCUGCGCGCCGUAGGGGUCCAGAAUCAUGAGCCCCGCGUUGGGCUGCGCGAGCCUGCUGAAUAUGUUGGCCCACACGUCCCGGGGGAUGGCCUGCCGGACGUAGUCGGACGUGGCCUUGUAGCCGCUGCUGAACACGGACGCGGAGGUGGUCCGGUUCAGGAGGUCCUCCACCGUGGAGCCGCUGCCGAGGUAGAUGUAGGGCACGGAUUGGAUCCACGUCAUCUCCUUGCAGGAGCUGCGGUUGAGCCCCAGCUCCGGGAAGCGGCUGCCCAUGACGGGCAGGAGCGCGUCGCACGUGCCGAGGAACAGGGACUGGAAGUUGGCCGUCUGCUGCUGGACGAGCACCCUGAUGAAGAGGUCGUCCGGCAGGGCAGGCGCGACCUGCUGCCACCUGGUGACCACGUCCACGGCGCCCUGGCUCGCGGGCACCGGGACGUUGAACACCGCCACCGUUGCCGGGACAGGCACGAGCCUGACCUGCCACGACAGCACGACACCGAAGCUCUCGCCGCCGCCGCCACGGAUCGCCCAGAAGACGUCGCUCCCCAUGGUGUUCUUGCUGAGGAGCCUCCCCCUGGCGUCCACCAGCACGGCGUCGAGGACGUUGUCGAUGGCCAGGCCGUACUUGCGCAGCAGCAUGCC
rnacentral:misc_RNA from 1 species